UGCAUGAACUUGAUAUUCCGACCGUUUUGUGACAGUAAAACAAAGUAGGAAAAAGUGAAUAGCACGCGGAAGAAGUAAACGUAGACGAAGAAAAGGAAGAAGAUAAUGACGAUGACGAAGAAUGUGAAGUAAAAGAACUAGAGAAAGAAGAAAAAGUCGAAGAGAGAAAAAAUCGUAAGAUAACGCGAUGUUCGUGUACAUUGACGCAUAUGAAAUAGGUAAAAAAAUAUGAGAACGAAGUAAAAGUGGAGAAAAAUGGAGAAAAAGAUGAAAGACGAUGAUGACGAUGAAGAAAAAGAAAAGGCGAAAGAGAAGGGUAGAAAAGAUCAUAAGGCAACGUGGUGCCCAUGCAUAUUCACGCGUGGAAAGUGCGCGUGCGUAGCUGCGCAUAUGACGCCUCUGUACGCGGUAUAUAAAUGGCGUAAAGGCGUUUACGCGGUCGAAGGGGAGUUGGAGAAGAGGACAGUAACCCACAAGGAACGUUCUGUCUCAUAAGCGUGGUGCGUUGCACUUAAAUAUAGUCGGUGCAUAGAGAGGAAGAUAGAGAAAAGUUCACGCAUACGUAUACGCGUACGUACCGUUGCGGUGGAAGAAAGAUAGAAAAAAAGUGCGACGCGACGUUCGUUCUUCUCGUCGGCCUAUUAUUCUCUUUUAGCAAAACGGGCUCCCUGCUUGUUUGGAAGUAGUACACUCACGGAUUCGAAAGGUCGACAGUAUAAUAGUAUGUACCUUUCGUGGGCUGUUUCCUACGUCGCAGACGUUUCUUGGAUCUUUCGCCUAAAAUUCAAUAAUAGGAAAUCCCUCCGUAACUAUCCGACGUCAUUGUUUGACCAGCUUUUAACACGUUCAACUAGGCUUGAGCCGCUGAUGGUUUAAAGUGCUGUGUCGGCGCAAGACACCGUCAUGCCUCAAAACAGAGUUGUACGUUUUUAACACUUUGGACCGUGUGUCUUGUAACUGCGCUGCGUUAGUGUUGAUUUUGUACUACAGCCGAGAGAACAGUUAAAAACUCUGUUGACAGAUGGAAACAAAUUUCUUUUUUAAAACAGAAAUACUCAAAUUAGUGAUGUGAAGCAUCGAAAUUCUUCGUUUGGAAAAGUGAAUAUGAAUACAUAUGUACUAUGGAACACUAUGAAACACUAUGAAACAUUAUGAAACACUAUGAAACAUUAUGAAACACUAUGAAACAUUAUGAAACAUUAUGAAAAUAUGUAUAUGUAGUUGUUAUGAAUAAUUUAAAAACACGUAGUUAUUUAUAUAAAUAAAGAGAUUUUAACGCAUAAAUUUCCACUAUCAGAUGGUUUUACAACGUUUAUACGUAUGGAUAACGAUAUCAUUUUCUUACCACGUUUGGGAUUAUGACACAUUAAAAGACAAUUUGUCUUUCGUUAUCUAAGAAGCAGCUUUAUUUCUUCCAAGAUAAAAUGGAUAUAGCGUUCAGAUAACGUGCAAGAUAAACAAAUUGUAGCUGGAUUAUUUAUGAAUAUAUAAAAAGAAAGAAAAA